rnacentral:rRNA from 1 species
AAAUUGAAGAGUUUGAUCAUGGCUCAGAUUAAACGCUGGCGGCAGGCCUAACACAUGCAAGUCGAACGGUAACAGGAAACAGCUUGCUGUUUCGCUGACGAGUGGCGGACGGGUGAGUAAUGUCUGGGAAACUGCCUGAUGGAGGGGGAUAACUACUGGAAACGGUAGCUAAUACCGCAUAACGUCGAAAGACCAAAGAGGGGGACCUUCGGGCCUCUUGCCAUCGGAUGUGCCCAGAUGGGAUUAGCUUGUUGGUGGGGUAA